ensembl:lncRNA
UGACUUCUGAGAAUUUUAUACCUCUAAUUUGAUUACAGUUAAGGAGACGAUAUGCCUCUGUCUCAGUCUCACCAGUGUCUCUCUCUUUCUCAGGUUACGCUUCCUGACAGACAUGGAGAGCAAACUGUUUGCACUAUGCUCAGAGAUCCAGGAUCUGAGAAAAACUUGUGAACAUACAAGCACCUCAGAGACAGCCAUCAUCGAGCUGCAGACGCAAUGGGAAAACGCACACAGAACAGUCACAGAGAGGUGAGGAGAAAUGCACAUGAUUAUAGGAAAGCACUUGGUGAAAUACCAUUUCACAUUUUUCGUGCUUCUGUUUCAGUCGUGAACAGUGUGUCUCUCUGAGCGAACUACUGAAGAAGUUCCAGAGCUGCCGAAAUCGCUUGGGCAGCACUUUGCAGAAAGCAGAGCAGACUAUUGGUGACCAGGCCUCCUAUAUUGGCAAAGACAACCUGCAGCUCCUGAUCAGUAAGGUACAGAAAUACUGAAAAAUCCUGUGUGCAGUGCUUCCAUUCUUGGUGGACUGCAGGUGGCAGUAUUAACCUCAUUGUUUUAGAUGAUUUUUAGUGUUAACUACAUGUAUACAACAUAUUCAUUAGAUAAAACUGGGGAUAGAAUGAGUAUAAAUAACUACAUGACUAUUAUUUAUAUUUUGUGUAUGUGUGCAGGUGACCAGUAUAAAGACAGAUCUCAGUGGUCUUGGGGACAGGGUGGAGGAGUUCAGAGCUGUGUGUCGACAGCUGCAGUCUCUGAUGAGAAGGAUCCCAGACUGUGCUGAAGCUCCAUUUGAGAGUGAGGCUGACACCCUCAUGGACCGCUGGCUUGAUGUCACCGAGAAAGCAGACUGUCAUCUGGACAACCUUCAAGCUGGCUUCUCUCUUUGGGAAAAACUCCAACUGCUGGCUGGAGAGGUGGAGGGCUGGAGCGCCCAAAAGCUGAUGACACUUGCUGAGUCACACCCCUUUCAGACAGAGCAGGAUGUGUCUGCCAUGCAGGUAAAACCUUGUUUUGGUAUAACUUUUGGAUAAUAAUAUUUUGGAUGUUAACUUGAAACUUGUCAUCAACUGAACAUUUAUGGAAAGAAGCAUGAUAUUGUUAGU